GGAGAGGUCGGGGCACCCCAUCAGUCAUAGGAGAGGUAGGGGCACCCCAUCAGGUAGAGGAGAGGUAGGGGCACCCCAUCAUGUAUAGGAGAGGUAGGGGCACCCCAUCAGGUAGAGGAGAGGUAGGGGCACCCCAUCAGGUAGAGGAGUGGUAGGGGCACCCCAUCAGUCAUAGGAGAGGUAGGGGCACCCCAUCAGUCAUAGGAGAGGUCGGGGCACCCCAUCAUGUAUAGGAGAGGUCGGGGCACCCCAUCAGUCAUAGGAGAGGUAGGGGCACCCCACUGUAUAGGAGGGGUAGGGGCACCCCAUCAUGUAGAGGAGAGGUAGGGGCACCCCAUCAUGUAUAGGAGAGGUAGGGGCACCCCCUCAGGUAGAGGAGAGGUAGGGGCACCCCAUCAUGUAUAGGAGAGGUCGGGGCACCCCCUCAGGUAGAGGAGAGGUAGGGGCACCCCAUCAGUCAUAGGAGAGGUAGGGGCACCCCAUCAGGUAGAGGAGAGGUCGGGGCACCCCCUCAGGUAGAGGAGUGGUAGGCUGAUUCCCGUGCGGUGGGGCAGUCCUCUUGAGGCGCUCCUGCUCGUGAUGCAGUCGGGUCAGGCACAGCUCUGGGUCUUCGGGUUGGAUCCCUGUGCCCCUGUCGGUGCUUCAGGUGGGCUUGGGCUCUUCUCUGUGUGCAGAAGCCUGCAUCCAGACGCCGCAGAUGUCUGACAGGUCUGGUGG